CACGCCGUAAACGAUGAGUACUAGGUGUAGGAGGUAUCGACCCCUUCUGUGCCGCAGUAAACACAAUAAGUACUCCGCCUGGGAAGUACGAUCGCAAGAUUAAAACUCAAAGGAAUUGACGGGGGCCCGCACAAGCAGCGGAGCAUGUGGUUUAAUUCGAAGCAACGCGAAGAACCUUACCUGGACUUGACAUCUCCUGAAUAGUGUAGAAAUACAUGAAGCCCUUCGGGGCAGGAAGACAGGUGG
rnacentral:rRNA from 1 species